GGCGGACGGGUGAGAAACGCGUGAGGAUCUGCCGUGAGGAGAGGGACAACGUCUGGAAACGGACGCUAAUACCCCAUAAGCCGAGAGGUGAAAAGGAGCAAUCCGCCUUGCGAGGAACUCGCGUCCUAUCAGCUAGUUGGUGAGGUAACGGCCCACCAAGGCUAUGACGGGUAGCUGGUUUGAGAGGACGACCAGCCACACUGGAACUGAGAGACGGUCCAGACUCCUACGGGAGGCAGCAGUGGGGAAUAUUGGGCAAUGGGGGCAACCCUGACCCAGCGACGCCGCGUGUGGGAAGAAGUCCCUUGGGACGUAAACCACUGUUGUGCGGGAAGAAGGAAGUGACGGUACCGCACGAGGAAGGCCCGGCAAACUACGUGCCAGCAGCCGCGGUAAU
rnacentral:rRNA from 1 species